AGCGAACGCUGGCGGCAGGCCUAACACAUGCAAGUCGAACGGAUCCUUCGGGAUUAGUGGCGGACGGGUGAGUAACACGUGGGAACGUGCCCUUUGGUUCGGAACAACUCAGGGAAACUUGAGCUAAUACCGGAUGUGCCCUUCGGGGGAAAGAUUUAUCGCCAUUGGAGCGGCCCGCGUCUGAUUAGCUAGUUGGUGGGGUAAAGGCCCACCAAGGCGACGAUCAGUAGCUGGUCUGAGAGGAUGAUCAGCCACAUUGGGACUGAGACACGGCCCAAACUCCUACGGGAGGCAGCAGUGGGGAAUCUUGCGCAAUGGGCGAAAGCCUGACGCAGCCAUGCCGCGUGAAUGAUGAAGGUCUUAGGAUUGUAAAAUUCUUUCACCGGGGACGAUAAUGACGGUACCCGGAGAAGAAGCCCCGGCUAACUUCGUGCCAGCAGCCGCCGCGGUAA
rnacentral:rRNA from 1 species